rnacentral:tRNA from 1 species
GGGGAUGUGGCUCAGUGGUAGAGCGCUCACCUAACAUGUGUAAGGCUCUGGGUUUGAACCUCAGUACCA